rnacentral:lncRNA from 1 species
UUUGAUUUUUUUUUUUUUUUUUUUUUUGAUAAGGACUAUGGAGAAGUUUCGCUCAAUGGCUGAAGCCUGCAGAGGGAAGAUAUUUAUCAAAUUAAUUUCCCAGGCUUUGUUCCGGUAAAAAAGAAUCAGCUGAUGCUUCAAAGAAUGUUAAACUUCUAAUGCAAAGAUCCCCCCCUCCCCCUGGUUUUUCUUUCCUGCUCAGUUUCUCAACUACAAAAAUUAAAUACAGCAGGGAUAGACUGAUCAUGGAUAGACUGAUCAUGGCUGAUCCGAUGCAUCGGGGCUGCAGCUGAUAUUCAAGGAAACACAAACCUGGGAUUGGGGGCUCAUCGUUCUGAGACGUGCAGCUUGAUGGUUCACACAAUGAGGCCGAGGUCACACAGAUCACAAGAAGUCACUGUGUGUGUGUGUGUGUGUGUGUGUGUGUGUGUGUGUGACACAUAAAACUGGCUUUUCUAAUGAA